rnacentral:miRNA from 1 species
UGACACGGAGGGUGGCUUGGGAA